AUGUGUUUCGGUCUUGGGGUUUGUGUUUGGUUUUUGAUUAGUGAUAGGUCUUGUUUAAGGUUUAGGUUAACAUUAGGCUUAAGUGUAGGGUUAGGGUUAUGUCUGUGUAGGUUAGAGUUUGGGUUAACAUUAGGCUUAAGUGUAGGGUUAGGGUUAUGUCUGUGUAUGGUUAGAGUUUGGGUCUUGGCAUGUGCCUGCACUGGGACUCCUAGCAUCUUGGGCAGUUUAGUUUGAUGCACUCUAUUUAGGUUUUGGGUGCUUUGAGCCUGACUCUACCAUGUCAGUGGCGUCCCCAGAGAAUCAAAAUCCAGUCUUCUGCUGGGGUGAGAAUAGGCAUGUCAGGCUUCUCCUGAGCUGAGCUAAGGAGGGGAUUUGUGGCUCUAAAGACUCUUUGUUUGGAUUUUCAGUUGUCUUUCUGAUUUAUCUCUUGUGCACACAUGUUUCCUCUAUACUACCAAUUAUUAUUUUAAAGUUUUACUUGAAUUCCUCUUUGUAAACAAGGUAUGAUAUAGUUUCAGGUUUACCACAUAGUGAUAACACAGUAUGAUAUAGUUUCAAGUUUACCACAUAGUGAUUCAACCCUUGAAUACAAUGCCUGGUACUGGUCAGAGGUGACCUCCGCUAUCCCCAUCCCCUGAUUCCCCAUCCCCCCCACUUUCCUCUGGUUUUAUUAGUUUAUUCUCUGUGGUUAAGAGUGUGUUUCUUGGUUUGCAUCUCUCAUCCAUCCUUCGCCCCUUGCCAGUUUGUUUGGUUUCUUAAAAUUCACAUGUGAAUACAAUUGUAUGGUAUUUGGUAUCUGUCUUUCUCAGACUGACUGAGUUCAUUGUGCAUAAGUCCCUUCCACUUCUCCCAUGUCAUUGAAAAUGGCUUCAUUUCAUCCCUUCUGAUGAACGAGUGAUGUCGCAGUGUGUAUAUUUACCAUAUCAUCUCUGACCAUUCAUCUGUCUAUGGACAUCUAGGCUGUAUACACACUUUCGCUGUUGUUGAUAACACUGCGACCAACACUGGGCUGCGUGCUCCUCUUCAAAUCUACUAAACUACUUUUGUGUCCUCUUUGUAUCCUCUGUGCAAUUUUGGAAUCAUAGGGUAGCUCUAUUUUUAUC
rnacentral:lncRNA from 1 species